CUAAAGUUCAAUACCACCACUAAGAAUUGCCCUCACACUAAAGACGCUGCAAUAGCUUUGGGUACUCAUGGGCCCUAGGGGUGCCCUGGACCCUGAUUCCUAAUUUUGGACUCAGACGCCCUAUUACUUUUAGAAAUGUAUGCCUUAUCUAUCUGAGAAUGAAUCCUGAAUCUCACAUCUUCUGCGGCCCCUAAGGCAGGGCCACCAGCACAUGCUCAAUACUUCUUACUGAUUUCUCAGGAAGAGUCACGUUCCCCUACUCGGUUCAGCUGUCACCCCACCCCCACACUUCACCAGCAAGAAGCUAAACUCUCUGAAGUGGAAUAACACUGAAAAGCAAAACAUCUUUUUAACUCAAAACACAAACUCUUUUCAAAAUGUCAUUUCCGGAGAAGAAAGCCCUUCCGUUUGUGCUGGCAGAAAUGGGGUGACUUUUUAAAAUAAAUAUCAAACCUUUACUGCCUGUGAAGAGUCUUCUGUUACCCUGGCAACAUAUUUCCUCUUAUCAUUAAUGUAGGACAAAGUGGAUAACUUUGGGUGAAUCAGAGAAAUUUUCC
rnacentral:lncRNA from 1 species